UGCAUCUAGAGACCAUGACUGGUUUAAUUUACCUUUUACUCAAAUCCGUGGAUUAUGAUCCUUCGUCAAUAAAUGUGUCCCAAAACCGACCAGCUAACAUACAUGAUGAUUAAAGUAAAGACUUUAUGAAGAAAUAUCUGACGACAACUAAAGCGUGAAGAUUCUGCUUGUGGGGUAAAUGACCUGAGGUUGUGCUUCAGGUGGCUCUUCAGGUGGCGGUGGCCCUUCCAAAAAUGUGCGAAAGUGAUCGUCUGUAUUGAGUUCGGGCUGUUUGACUAGCAGUUGGCAUUUUGGGUAAAAAUAGAUUACCUGAAGGGAACUGCUGAGGAUGACCGAGAGGGCCACAGAAGGAAAGAAGACGUUCAAGGGUUGCUGUAGACGGCACGCAAUGUCAUUUGGCUGACCCAGGAACAGCACCAGGCUGACACAUUGUGCUGAUAGGCUCAACAGGGUAAUGCUGCUCAAUGACCCACCAGCAAUUUUCACCAUUGGAGUUCCUCUGUUCUUGAAAAAAUGAAUCCCUACCCAUGCAUGUGAUGCAAGUACCAAAAUUCCAGCCAGCAGGAUUGCUAUUGACUCAAAUUGAAGCCAAUCCAGGUAAGUAUAGACGGGAAAGACACAGCUGGUGCUACGUAGGGUGGACCACUUGCCGACAGGACAUAAUGUGCAUUGGAUAUCAUCUUUCAAUUGGAAGAGACAAAUAAGCAGCGUAUAGCCAGAGGCAAUUGAGAGGUGCGAGGAAAGCAGACGGAGGUGAAGAAAGAUGAACAGAAACAUGAUCGAUUUAUCUGCAAGCAUUAAUGGGCAGGACUGUUUUAUGUUAUUUACAUGUGUGAAUGAUGAAGAAACCUGAUGUAUACUGUAUGACGUACAGCGCAGGACGUGUUCCAGAUCAAUCAAGAUGAGGAAGCUUUCUUUUUUUUUUUUAAGGGUGUAAUGGAGAAAUACAUACAAACAGUCUAUGCAUAUUGAGCCAGUGAAUAAGUAAAAUCAAAGUUUGAUGUUCCUCAUCUCAAAAUAAGAUUGAGACUUUGUGCACACAUUUUAUCAGUAUUUGGGUGAUUCUCACAAAAUCCAGAUUUAGAAGGUGUCCAGCAUAAAAAAAAAAUUAAAAGCCCUUGAAGCCAAUUGUUUUUGCACAUAAAAGAUUAAG